AGUUCAGAUUGCAGGCUGCAACCCGCCUGCAUGAAGUCGGAAUUGCUAGUAAUCGCGGAUCAGCAUGCCGCGGUGAAUACGUUCCCGGGCCUUGUACACACCGCCCGUCACACCAUGAGAGUCGGAAACACCCGAAGCCUGUAGUCCAACCGCAAGGGAGGAAGCGUCCUAAGGUAGGGUCAGCGAUUGGGGUGAAGUCGUAACAAGGUAGC
rnacentral:rRNA from 1 species